rnacentral:rRNA from 1 species
UGCGAGCGUGACGGCGCGAGCAGGUGCGAAAGCAGGUCAUAGUGAUCCGGUGGUUCUGAAUGGAAGGGCCAUCGCUCAACGGAUAAAAGGUACUCCGGGGAUAACAGGCUGAUACCGCCCAAGAGUUCAUAUCGACGGCGGUGUUUGGCACCUCGAUGUCGGCUCAUCACAUCCUGGGGCUGAAGUAGGUCCCAAGGGUAUGGCUGUUCGCCAUUUAAAGUGGUACGCGAGCUGGGUUUAGAACGUCGUGAGACAGUUCGGUCCCUAUCUGCCGUGGGCGCUGGAGAACUGAGGGGGGCUGCUCCUAGUACGAGAGGACCGGAGUGGACGCAUCACUGGUGUUCGGGUUGUCAUGCCAAUGGCACUGCCCGGUAGCUAAAUGCGGAAGAGAUAAGUGCUGAAAGCAUCUAAGCACGAAACUUGCCCCGAGAUGA